CUCCAGAAGUCUGUGAUUCUGUUGUUUAUUGUGUGUGCAGUGUACAAUUCUAGGACCCUCCCAUGCCCCCUCCCCUCCCAUCCCCCAAGGGCCCCUGAACGGCGGGGCUAAGAGGUCACCCUAAGACCACUGGCCCAAGAGGGGCAGAGGGCAGAGGCUGGCCCUUUGCCCUCACCCCUGCUUCUGUAUAUGGGAGACUGAGCCCCAGUCACUGGGGGCAGCUGGGGCUCCCCAGAGUGAAGGCUGACUGGGGGUCCCCACCCUGGCCUAGGGACCAGGAGGGAACUGGGUUGGGAGCUCUUCCUAUGAUGCAGGCAUUCUCCAGCAGAAAGAUGUGGGGGCAGGGUGUACAGAGGGGUGGGGGGCGGCGCGAGAGCAGCUUCUGAUGCCCUGGGUUCAAAUUCGACCUUCAGUGAGUAAGCUGGGUGCUCAGAGACUCAGUUUCCCCAUUGAUAAAAAUGGAGACUGUAGAUCUGAUUUUAGAAUGUUCUGAAUUCGGCCUCAACCAAUGGUAAUACUUAGUAUCUGAAGGACAGUGAUAGGUGUGCGUGCGUGUGUGCGUGCAUGCGUGUGUGUAGGGGGGCUAUGCACACAUCAAGCCUAUAGAUUCAUAAAGGGGAAAGGAUGGGAAAGGCCACUGGCCACAGGGGAAGGUUGACAAGAAGCUGGGGUCCAUCUUUGAAGUCCCAAAGCCCCCCCCCCAACGCUUUCUCCCACCUGUUGGGUGACUGUCUGCCCGGGAGGCAGCCCCCUGGAGCCCAGGCCUCUGGGUGGGGUGAGAAGGACCAGCCCCCCACCCCAGUCAGCCUUGCCUGGGGGCACGAGCAGGUCACAGACAGCAGGAGCGUCACACGGUUUAUCACGAGCCAGCUGUAUUGGAAAAACGCCAUAUAUACAGACGCAAGGUGGCCCUGCCCUGGCACAGCUGGCUGGCUGGGGGCACCAGGUGGGCCGGCGGCCUGGCAGCUGGUCUGGGGGUUGGAGAUGGCAGAGGGGAGACUUUCCAUCCCAGCUGUCUCCUGGCCUCCCUGUGCCCCCGGGCAGUUCAGCUGAGACAGGCACCUCUGCUUGCGAUUUCCCUCUGCCUUUCCCACGCCCCUCGCCAAGGAGCCCCAGGUCCCCGGUCCCCCUGCCCCUACCUUGCAGAGACUCCAUAGAUCAAAGGAAUUGCCUGUCUGUCUGUCCUGCAGAUUAUUUGCCCAGAGAUCCUGCUAUCCCAAUCUCCGUUCCCCAAAGUGGCUUCUCUGGGAUCGCCCUUUCCCCAUCCCAAUCCCUUUAUUCUGGAUUAAGUGAAAGAGGGCACAUCUGGAAUCUGGGGGCCACGGGUCAGGCAAGGGGGGUCCCUGGGCUGCCUUGGGCAAAGCAGAAGACCUUAACUGGGGGGGACGACCCACCUGGGGUCUGCAGGGGGUCAGAGCCUGGAGUCUGGGCUGAGAUGUCCUGGAGGCUGUCAUGAGGGGGUUAGGAAGACCUCUGGCAGGCCAGUGGGGACAAGGUGGGGAAGGGCCAGGGAAGGGAGGCCCUCAGAUUUUUAUCUCCGUCCGGAAGGUCUGCUGGACGUGCUCUGUGUGCGGGUGGCGUCGCGCCCGGAUGGUGAGGCUGCCGUCCUCCCUCAGAGCCGAGGUCACGGAUGUGGGGUCCACGUCCUCUGGCAGCUGGCACUUGUGAGCGAAGGUGUUCAUGACGGUGCCAUCCGCUGCCAGCUGGGGAAGGGGUGAUGGUUCAAGCCAGGCUGCCCCCAACCUCCGUCCUACUUAUGUCAGCCACAGCCCCUUCUCCCCAGUCUAAGCCCAGCUGGGCCCCCACAUGCCAAGGGGUUCUGCUCUCGGGUGCAGAGGCCCGGGGCAGGGGCUGGCCAGGGUGGUGGUUGAGUGCAGGACAGGCACAGAGGGGCUGAGAGGAGCUGCGGCUGUUCUGAGGGGUAGGCAAGGGCUUGGUGGAGGGAGCUCCGAGAGGGAGGCAGAAGCUAG
rnacentral:lncRNA from 1 species